rnacentral:RNase_P_RNA from 1 species
GGAGUUGACUGGGUAGUCGCUGCUUCAUUGAUGUCCCUAGCCUUGUGUUGGGGAGACUGAUGAAGGGGAGGAAAGUCCGGGCUCCAUAGAGCAGGGUGCCAGGUAACGCCUGGGAGGCGCAAGCCUACGACAAGUGCAGCAGAGAGAAGACCGCCGAUGGCCUAAGGGUACAGGUAAGGGUGAAAGGGUGCGGUAAGAGCGCACCGGGCGACUGGUAACAGUUCGCUGCAAGGUAAACUCCACCCGGAGCAAGACCAAAUAGGCUUCCACAUUGCGUUGCUCGCGUAAGGAAGCGGGUAGGUUGCUUGAGCCAGUGAGCGAUUGCUGGCCUAGACGAAUGGCUACCACCGCAUAAGCGGAACAGAACCCGGCUUACAUGUCGGCUCCACCU